GCCAAUGGCAACAGCUGAGGAGGCAUCACCAUAACCUCCUUAGACCUCACAAUGGUGGAUGCAGCUCAACAGCCCUUAUCUGUAUUGGUUGGUAAAGGUAAAGGACCCCUGGAUGGGGUUCCAGCACUCAUCUCGCUUUCAGGCCGAGGGAGCCGGCGUUUGUUCACAGACAGCUUUCUAGGUUAUGUGGCCCACAGGACUAAACCGCUUCUGCCGCAACGGGACACCGUGAAGGAAACCAGAGCGCACGGAAACGCUGUUUACCUUCCCGCCGGAGUUGUACCUAUUUAUCUACUUGCACUGGUGUGCUUUCGAACUGCUAGGUUGGCAGGAGCUGGGACAGAGCAACGGGAGCUCACCCCGCCGUGGGGAUUCGAACCGCCGACCUUCUGAUCAGCAAGCCCAAGAGGCUCAGUGGUUUAGACCACAGCGCCACCACAGGAGAGGAAAGUGCACUUGGGUCCUACUUUUGGCAUUCCCACCAGCUUCUGGUUGGCCUUUUUGAGAACAGGAUGCUGGACUGGAUGCCCCAUUGGCCUGAUCCUGCAGGCUGCUCUUAUGUUCUUGCUCCCUAGCUCAUGCUGGUCCCCUCUUCGGGUUCAGACAUUUCUUGGGGUCCUGCUUUUGGCUUCCCCAAUCCACUAGGAGCCUCCCUCUGGUCCUCCGACACUCUGAGCUCCUCCCCCUCUUCCUCAGGAUCGGUCCAUCCCCUCACAAGGCCUGCCAAGAAAAAUAAAGAAUUUAUUCAUGUAUGCUACAACAGCGGCAAGAGUCUUGAUAGCACAAGGGAUGGAAGAACGAGGAAACCCCGACAAAAGAACAAUGGCAAGAGAAAUUGAUGAACUAUGCAGAACUGGCAAAACUGACAUACAAACUGCGAGAUAAGGACAACUGUGACUUCAAAGAAGAAUGGGAACUUUUUACAAAUUACUUAAAAAGACAACAAAGGUAAAUUAGAUAACCAAGAGACGUGUGGUGAAUGCGGUGGAAGUCUUUUAUAAUAUUUUAACUAGGAUUUAUAUAUCAUAAUGUUUGAAGUAUGAAUUUGGAAUAAUUGAUUAUGAAAAGUAUUUUUUCUCUUCAUUCUUUUUCUUGUUUCUUUUAUCUUUUGUCUUUCUUUUCUAGUCUGCAUUCUGGGAAAUAGUGUAGAUAAAUGUUUUAAUGUAUGGUUAUGCAUUGUUUCUAUUUCUUUUUUUCUUUUCAUAUUUUUGUAACAUUUAAUAAAAUUUAAUAAAAAAAAAAAAGACAACAAAAUGAAUUGGACUCCUUGGCAGGUUUUGAAUAAACAUACACAAAUUUAUUGACUGUUUACAUAGUAGACACAUAAUUUAAGGAUUUAUACAAUUUUGCAGUAUGCAGAGAAUAACAUGUGCUGAGAAAUCAGAGAGAGGAGCUGAGGGAAGUCUUGGGGGGGUUGAUGGGGGGAAGGGGGGAAAUAAUGAAUAUGAUAUGUUUUGAUAUUUUGUUAUGUUGAAAUUGUUAAUAAAGGAUUGGUCCAUCCCCUCCAUGACUUCGCCAUAGGGUUCAGGACAUGAAUGGACCGGCCUCCACUCAGUUGCUUUCCCCCCACCCCUCACAGGACCACAUCCGUGGAGCAGGUGCUUGCUGGGAACAUCUCCCGUACGCCACGAAGAACCGCCAGACCCAGGCGACCGUAAUUUCUAAGCACAAAGAGGACUGAGUACCUCGACACAUCAGAGGAGCCCCUUGCUUCCCAUGGUAAAACCAGGAACAGAUUCCAGGUGUAGCUUUGUGAUUAUUAUAUACCAAGAAGUCGGCCAUCUGUGGAUGGUGUGUUCCUGCAUCGUUUUCUUUCUUCCGUGGAUGAGAAAGGGCGAUUUGGGGGCGGGGGUGGGGGGGUGGGAACCAUUAAGUGUUAUUAGGUGAAGAGAAUUUGGAUUCCUGUUCCAAACUUCUCCCUUCAGGCUAGGAACAAUUUCCUGCCGCUCUUCCCUCCCCCAACCCCGCCAGACACUUUGAGAUGAGGAAAGGACUUCAAAGAGGCGUUCUCAAAGCACACCCUCGCCGCCCUCCCCCCCCGAAAAACGACAGGCAUCCGUUAGCGAAAGUAUCCAUGUUGUGAUACGCCACAGAUUGCUGCGGUUUGCAAACCAGGCCCCGGGGUCACGAACGGCUGGAUCUGCAGUUAAUGCGACUUGACAGCUCGUAUUAUAUUCUCUCACUCAUGGAUGGUAGAGCCAGGUCCCGUUACAUACGGAGGAAAUCCCUCCGGGUCAAGGUGGAAGAAACAUAGCGGAGAGAUCCCUAUUCCCUGGGAAGCCAUUACCCUCCAGAGCACCGUACGGCACACACGUGCUCGUACGCCUUCUGCCUGUGCCAAGAGAAGGAAUUAGCAGCAAAGAUUGAGCCCGGGCAGCAAGUGCGGAAAUGCAAGAGGUGUCGCCGGUGGCAGAAGCAGCCCAGCAUUUUCCAGCCCGAGGGCUGCAUUCACUUCUGAACAUGGCUCAGUACCGCACGAUACCUCAAGGACCGCCUCUUUCCAUAUGAACCUACCCGGACCCUGAGAUCAUCUUCUGAGGCCCUCCUUCGUGUGCCUCCUCCUCGAAAGGUCCAGAGGGUGGCAACACGAGAACGGGGCCUUCUCUGCAGUGGCUCCCCGUCUGUGGAAUGCUCUCCCCCCAGGAUGUUCACCUGGCACCUUCAUUAUACACCUUUAGAUGCCAGGCAAAAAUGUUUCUUUAUAACGAGGCCUUUGGUUGAUCUAUUGUCUUUGAUCAUGGGGUUUUCUUGGCAGGGAUACUGGAGUGGCUUGCCGGUUCCUGCUCCAGGUGGAUCACGUUUGGUCAAAACUCUCCACUAUGACCUGUCCAUCUUGGGUGGACCUGCACAGCAUAGCUCAUAGCUUCUCUGAGUUAUUCAAGCCCCUUCACCAUGGCAAGGCAGUGAUCCAUGAAGGAGGAGACUCUUGAGAGUCCCAUGGACUGCAAGAAGAUCAAACCUAUCCAUUCUUAAGGAAAUCAGCUCUGAGUGCUCACUGGAAGGACAGAUGGUGAAGCUGAGGCUCCAGUACUUUGGCCACCUCAUGAGAAGAGAAGACUCCCUGGAAAAGACCCUGAUGUUGGGAAAGAAGGGGAACAAGGAGAAGGGGACGACAGAGGACGAGAUGGUUGGACAGUGUUCUUGAAGCUACCAGCAUGAGUUUGACCAAACUGCGGGAGGCAGUGGAAGACAGGAGUGCCUGGCGUGCUCUGGUCCAGGGGGUCACGAAGAGUCGGACACGACUAAACAACUAAACAACAACAAAUUGGUUGAUCUAAGAGAUGCAGGUGGUGCUGUGGGUUAAACCACAGAGCCUAGGGCUUGCCGAUCAGAAGGUCGGCGGGUCAAAUCCCUGCGACAGAGUGAGCUCCCGUUGCUCGAUCCCUGCUCCUGCCCACCUAGCAGUUCAAAAGCACGUCAAAGUGCAAGUAGAUAAAUAGGUACUGCUCCGGUGGGAAGGUAAACGGCGUUUCCGUGCGCUGCUCUGGUUCGCCAGAAGCGGCUUAAUCAUGCUGGUCACAUGACCUGGAAGCUGUACGCCGGCUCCCUCAGCCAAUAAAGCGAGAUGAGCGCCGCAACCCCAGAGUCGGUCACGACUGGACCUAAUGCUCAGGGGUCCCUUUACCUUUACCUUUUGGUUGAUCUUAUUGACAUCCAACACCCUUUUAGAAUGUUGCCUUUUGGGGGGAGGGGUUAUUGGGUUACUGCUUUUGGUUUGAUUUUAUAUGUUGGGGUCUUGUUGUGAACCUUCCUGAGACCUUCGGGUAUAGGUUGGUGUAUAAGUUGAAUAAAUAAUGAUAAUGAUGAUGGGAGUUGUAGUCUAGCAAUAUUAGGAGGGCUACAGGUUCUCCCAUCUCUGCUACUGACGUAGGACUGGAUUUUGGAGAGAAGGACUUUCAGAUGAGCUUCAGCCCUGGUUAAAAACUUCUUCUGUACUCCGCUUGGAGGUCCGUGAAGCUGCCCCAGGGUCCUUUGCAAGGGAUCUUAACACACUUUGGAAAGAAAAUGGAAAAAAAUGCCAUGGGGUUUGUGGGGAGCGACGGCGGGCAAGGUAUAUUCCAGCUUCACACAGUAGAAUAGUGUUUUCCAUUAAACUUGAGGCUGUUCAUUCUUUUAAUGAGCUGAGUACUGCAGUCCCGUACACAUUUCAGGUAACAGGAUCUCCCUCUGUACGUUUCUUUUUUCUUAACAGUGUCUGAUUUAGGGAUCUGCAAGGCUGUUUCCACGAUUUCCAAGUUAUUCCACCUUCGGUGACUCCUGUGAAGUCUGCAACAGAGCUCCCCUGGAAAAACUAUUGAAAAGCAAACCCGCUUUCACGUCCCCUAUAAAAUUCGGUUCUGUUCAGGGUAAUUCUCCAUUCUAGACAUUCAAAACCUUUACCGAAUUGUUAAAAGCCAUUUAUCCACCGUGCGAUUAAAGGACAGAAUAUUUUGGCAAAGGCAUAGAUCUUUCCUUCAGACGGGGAGUAUUUUGUCUACCUCAUUUACAGCCUGUACAAAGCCAUAUUUUUUAACAUUUGAGACUCCGCUAUUUUUCCAUUUUCGUUCCUACCUACCCUGACCCAUAAACCAGUUUUACUUCCCUUGGUGCCACAGCCUGUCAGUCCAGAUUAGAAAGUUUGGGGACUCGAACAACCCACUAAUAUUGACACCCACAUUUCUUUUCCCCAUCCAACGUUUAUGACCCAACAGCGGAUUUCUUUCACUUUUUGAAAGAAUCACUGUGCCAAACACGAUUGUGGAAGAAAGGCUGGGUGGUUGUUGUUUAGUCGUUUAGUUGUGUCCGACUCUUCGUGACCCCCUGGACCAAAGCACGCCAGGCACUCCUGUCUUCCACUGCCUCCCCCAGUUUGCUCAAACUCAUGCUGGCAGCUUCGAGAACACUGUCCAACCAUCUCGUCCUCUGUCGUCCCCUUCUCCUUGUGCCCUCCAUCUUUCCCAACAUCAGGGUCUUUUCCAGGGAGUCUUCUCUUCUCAUGAGGUGGCCAAAGUCUUGGAGCCUCAGCUUCAGGAUCUGUCCUUCCAGUGAGCACUCAUGGCUGAUUUCCUUCAGAAUGGCUGUGUUUGAUCUUCUUGCAGUCCAUGGGACUCUCAAAAGUCUCCUCCAGCACCAUAAUUCAAAAGCAUCCAUUCUUCGGCGAUUUUUAUUUUAUUUUAUUUUUUAUUUUAUUUUUUGUUAAAUAUGAAAAAGAGGCCUUAUGAAAAUUCACCAGCAUUUUAGUGCAAAUUGUAUACAGACGUUUGUAUUACUCUGCAAGCAAUCUUCCCUAAUACAUUUUAAAAUCUUGUUUUCACACAUACUUGCAUUUUUAUACACACACUUCACUGCAGGAUAGACUUUUCUGUCCACAUUGCUUGCCUGGAGAACUGCAUUGCAAAAUUCAGAGAAGUGCGAGUUUUGAAGCACAGCCGUGUUUCAAUUCUCAUAUUAUUUCAGACACAGACUUACCAAGCUAAACAUUGACCAUUUAUAAAAAUAAUAGCAGAUUUUAAUUCCUCACGCCCCAAAACAUAUUUUUAAGACCCCCUCAAUGAAGAAAUUUGCAAAAAUUAAGUUUCACACCCCCCUAAAAUGGCAUGCUAGUAAUGACUCGUGAGUGGCCUACCUUGCAGAAAAAAAUAAUUUUUGCAAUUUCACAGUGCUGCAGAAUUUAGCAUCCACUAGCAGAACAUGGGUGCAGAAUUUCGAAUUCUGUAAAGCAACACAAGUCUUUCAGAACUCAGAGCAGAUACAGCAUUAGUAAGGGAGUUGAAUCUUCUGUUUUUAAUGACUGAUGUUUUAAUGUAUUUUUAAUCAUUUGUUGGAAGCUGCCCAGAGUGGGCAGGGUAGAAAUAAGCUAUUAUUAUUGUUUGUUUGUUUGUUGUUGUUGUUGCUAUACUUCUUUAUCCAAAGUGUUCAAUAUCCUUUUUGUUUAACAAAUAGAAUUGGGGUAGGUAGGUGGGUGUAUGUUGUGGAUGAAAAGAAUGGAUUUUUAUUUUCUUUAGAAAAUGAUCUCACCUAACUGUAAACGUCCCCCAAUAGUCGCUCGUAGAUAAAUCACUGGUGCUUAUUUUAUUAGUGGUUUUAAAUACAAUAGCAGCAUUUUUAUGAUUUGGCCCUCGACUCCAUUCCCUGCCCUGACACAGCACCUCUCCAUCGGAGUUGGCUGCGGCCGUCAAACAAGGCUGGAUCCCAUUACAAACGCAGGAAAGGAAGAACACCUUACGAAAGCGAAGGGAAAAGAAGAAGAAAUUUGUUUGUUGCAGAGAAUCCAGCCGCUUAAGAGCCCUUAAAAGAAACCUUGUGUGCGUUCCAACUUGUCGGCUGAGAACAACCCGAAACUAUUCCAUCUGUGCUGAGGCAUAGAAAUGCCUUAUCUGUUUGGCCCCGGAUCAGAGACUCGACAAUCUGGCUAAGAAGGGCUGGCAGAUCUGGUGAGACAGCCAGGUGGAACGUGCUUGCUAUUUAAUUAAAAGGGCUGGCCUUAGAAGUGAAGAGAUUCUGUAGAAAUGGCUGGUCCUGAUUGCUUUGCUUAGUAUGGAUUUCCCCAACCUGGUUCCUACCAGAUGUAGGAAGAAUGUAAGGACAGAAGGAGAGCCCUUUUGGAUCAGAACAAACUCCCAUCUGGCUAAGGUCUGCCCUCCAUAGUUAGAGGCAUCAGUGCUUCUGAAUACCAGUUUAGCUUGCCGAUCAGAAGGUCAGCGGUUCAAAUCCCCAUGACAGGGUGAGCUCCUGUUGCUCUGUCCCAGCUCCUGCCAACCUAGCAGUUCGAAAGCACACCAGUGCAAGUAGAUAAAUAGGUACCACUGUGGUGGGAAGGUAAACAGUGUUUCCACACACUCUGGCUUCUGUCUGUGGGAUGGUUUACUUUAGCAGUUAAACAAUCCCCUUUAUAAGUUUAUGCAGCGAUCAGCUUGUUUCCACUGAGUUUCCAUUGAGCACAUGGAUUGAUAAUAUGGACAGAUUAGCUACAUAUGAAUGAAUUACAUGUCGGCACAAAAUACGAAUGGAUAAAUAUGAAGAAAUCUGGAACGAAUAUUUAAGCGAUAAGGUGGAUAGUGGUGGGAAGUAGGGGGGAGGAGAGAGAGGUGAGGAAAUAUUGUUUAAAAAGGUGUAGUCAUAGGUAUACCAGUGUAUUCAAAUCUGAAUUGUCAAAUUGUGUUAUUAGUGCUAUUAUGGUUUUUGUUGUAUGUGUCUUUUGCAGUUGUUGUUUGUAUCGAAAAAAUGAUUAAAUAAAACAAAAACAACAAUCCCCUUUAUAAGUUUAUGCAGCGAUCAGCUUGUUGCUGACUCGUCUGAGUUCUACUAGCAAAGAUGCCUUCCUGGUUAAAAAUCCCCUUGAAUCCCUCUUAAAGAGUACACACAUAAAUCUGAUUCAUGUUAAUAUAAAACUAUUUUCCUCUCAGAUUCAUUCAGGUUUACAGAACCAUGCCUGAAAGCAGGCUUAGGUUACAUAACGAGCAAAUGAACUAUACCAGAGGGACGUUGGUCCUGAGGCGACUGCAACUGAGCAGUUAUCUUUCAAAACUACAAGCAACUGACAAAGUGGUUGUCACAGCGACUGGUUAGAACAUGGAGGCCGUUAGUCCUCUGUCGGAAUGCUGCACUUGACGGCACCUUUACAUCCCACACUGUCAUGGUGUUCUGUUGCGCCAGAAGUGGCUUAGUCCUGCUGGCCACACUACUGAUUCAAAGUGUUGGUGUUGACCUUUAAAGCCCUAAACGGCCUCGGCCCAGUAUACCUGAAGGAGCGUCUCCACCCCCAUCGUUCUGCCCGGACGCUGAGGUCCAGCGCUGAGGGCCUUCUGGCGGUUCCCUCAUUGCGAGAAGCAAAGCUACAGGGAACCAGGCAGAGGGCCUUCUCGGUAGUGGCGCCCGCCCUGUGGAACGCCCUCCCAUCAGAUGUCAAAGCGAUAAAUAACUACCUGACAUUUAGAAGGCAUCUUAAGGCAGCCCUGUUCAGGGAAGCUUUUAAUCUGUGAUAUUUUACUGUAUUUUUUGUUUCUAUGGAAGCCGCCCAGAGUGGCUGGGGAAACCCAGCCAGAUGGGCGGGGUACAAAUAAUAAAUUAUUAUUAUUAUUAUUAUUAUUAUUACCUGGAAAGCUGUCUGUGGACAAACGCCGGCUCCCUCAGCCUGAAAGCGAGAUGAGCGCCGCAACCGCAUAGUCACCUUUGACUGGACUUAACUGUCCAGGGGUCCUUUACCUUUACCUUUUACACCUGUUCUGCCCUCCAAAGUUGGUGGCAUCAGUGCUUCUGAAUACCAGUUGCUGGAAACCACUGGAGGGGAGAGCGUUGCUCUUGUGCUUGUAUCCUGUUUGGGAGUUUUUCACAAGCAUCUGGGUGAUGCCCAUGAGAACAGAAUGCUGGAGUAGAUGGGCCAUUAGCCUAAUAAUACCCCAUCAUCUGACUAAGUUGCCCCAGCCACUCUGGAUGGCUUCCAACAUAAACAUAAUAAAACAAAAUGCUUUCCUAGACAGGGUUGCCUUCAGAUGUCUUCUAAAGCUUGUAUAGUUACAUAUCUGCUUGGCUCGAGGGUCGCCAUAAUGCCAUACUGUAAGGAGUGCGUACAGGAGUUGGGCCCUGUGACCAGUAGGGCUUCGCAGGACUGGGGCUUUCCUAAGUUUGUUCUGGAGAGGCAAGGUGCAGCCGCACAGGUGAGGCUGCUUGGUAACUCGCUGCACCUGAUGGCAAGAGCCGGAAGGGAUAUAAGGUCAGCAUUUCCCUUCGGCUCUUUGCCACAGCAACACGCUUCCUGCCUUGCUGUGUUUGGCUCCUUGCUUCCUGAUCCUCGGACCUCGACUUCUUGACUCCUUGCUUCUUGAUCCUCAGUCCCUUGACUUUGUGACUCCCUGCUUCCUGACCCUCGGACCCCUGGCUUCUGGACUCUCGUUCCUGCUCCCACCCCGCCAUCUUGCCCCGGUCCCAAAGUCCUCAGCCAGGACUUUGAUCGCCCGUAGACCAGACAGUGACACAUACCCUCCAAUAUUUCUUCGAUUAAAAUAAGGACGUCGUAAGGAAAAGCGGGACAUUCCGGGAUCAAAUAAAAAAACUGGGAUGGCGUCUGUAAAUCCAGGACUGUCCCUGGAAAAUAGGGACACUUAGAGGGUCUGAAAUGGGCCAUUGCCCGGAUCCUGCAGGAUCUUCGUAGGUCCUUGUGUUAUGGUUAAAGUCCUCAAAGCACUGGUGUUGUUAACAGCUGCUUGAAGGUUUCUCUUUAACCUUUUCUCCCCAACACACAGCUCUCCCUCCUCUUUGGAAGAUAAGCUGCUGUACAGGGUCAAACUGUCAGUCCAUCAACUAGCAGUGGCCAGAGGCUCAGGCAAAUCUCUUCCCCAACCACAUCAGGAACUGCUGGGGCUUGAACCCAAGACUUUUCCAUGCAAGGCAGAUGCUUUCUCAAUGAGCUGCAGCCAUCCUCCUCGCUCCAUCCGCCCUGUAGCCUGCAGUCUUGGCAAGGAGUCCCUCGCAGGUUAGGCUCCGCGAUCUGUAAACACUCAAGUAAUUAUAGCAUUAAAACAAGAGACACAGAUUACGGGGGUCCCGAUAGCAUCACUCUCACCUGGAGUAAUGAGAAAGGGAGUUGGGGCUUUUAUGAGCACAGCCACCAUUAUGAGCCUGAAGAGGUCUGCAGGUUGUGAAAUUGCCUGCCUUGUCAUCUUCGGGACAGCUCAGGAUUAUUAAAGAAAACAGUGCAGGAACGCAGGGAGCUGACUUUGUAACGCUGAGCCAGAACGUCGGUCUGUUUAGCUUAGUAUUUGCUACUCUGAAUGACAACCAGAGGCCUACGCCAGUGGCCAAAAUUGUAGAAACAUUUUGGGGAAAGUGUAGUUCUGAGGUUUGAUGGCUCAUAACACCACUUAUUUUGGAAUAAUGCCAUAAAAUUAUAUAUCAGGGGAAAGAUAAUUUAAUGAAGACUGUAAUGCAACAAAGUUUGUUCAAUUAUCUGUAUUCUCUCAAAAGUUAUAGCCAAAUAACCAGAAAAAGAAAGCACAAUUUGCUUAGGUUGAUACGCAGUAGCUCCCCCCCCCCCAGCUUGUUAAAUGGCUUGGGAUGCAUAUACCUAAAGGGGCAACUCUCCCGAUACCAGUUUUUUAGCUUUCUUUGCCCUCCCCUUAACAGCAUUAAGAACAUGGUCUGUUUGCUUCUAGGAGAAUGGUGACGCAAUGCCACUUCCUUUUAUAAACUGUACACACAGGGGUAACUGUGCCCCUGAAGGACCAGGUGCGCAGCCUGGGAGUCAUUUUGGACUCACAGGUGUCCAUGGAGGCGCAUGUCAAUUUUGUGUCCAAGGUGGCUGUCUAUCAACUCCAUCUGGUACGCAGGAUGAGACCCUACCUGCCCGCAGAGUGUCUCUCCAGAGUGGUGCAUGCUCUAGUUAUCUCUCUCUUGGAUUACUGCAAUGCGCUCUAUGUGGGGCCACCUUUGAAGGUGACACGGAAACUACAACUAAUCCAGAAAGCGGCAGCUAGACUGGUGACUGGGAGCGGCUGCUGAGACCACAUAACACCGGUCUUGAAAGACCUACAUUGGCUCCCAGUACAUUUCCAAGCAUAAUUCAAAGUGUUGGUGCUGACCUUUAAAGCCCUAAAUGGCCUCAGUCCAGUAUAUCUGAAGGAGCGUCUCCACCCCCAUGGUUCUACCCGGAUACUGAGGUCCAGCGCCAAGGGUCUUCUGGUGGUUUCCUCUCUGUGAGAAGCCAAGCUACAGGGAACCAGGCAGAGGGCCUUCUUGGUGGUGGCACCCGCCCUGUGGAACGCCCUCCCACCAGAUGUCAAAGAGAACAAAAACCACCAGACUUUUAGAAGACAUCUGAAGGCAGUCCUGUUUAGGGAAGCUUUUAAUGUUUGAUGCAUUACGGUAUUUUAAUAUUUUGUUGGAAGCCGCCCAGAGAGGCUGGGGAGGCUGGGCGGUGUAUUAUUCAUUCAUUCAUUCAUUCAUUCAUUCAUUCAUUCCCUGUCCAUCUGACUGGGUUGCCCCAGCCACUCUGGGCAGCUGCCAACAUAUAUAAAAUAAUUAAACAUUAAAAAGCUUUCCUAUACAGUGGUACCUCGGGUUACAGAUGGGCGGGGUAUAAAUUAUUAUUAUUAUUAUUAUUAUUAUUAUUAUUAUUAUUAUUCACAUACACACAAGUGUAGCUGCCUGGUCUCCUUGUUGCUCACCUCCUUCCACUGGCCAGUUCACCUCCAGAAUGGAAGGAGACCACCCAGUGCUGACAACCACAGCCAUUGGCCCCUGCGUUCUGCCAGGGAAGAGGGAGUGGACCGCCUUUAUAUCAACACAGCUGCCAUGUGCUUUUGUGACAUCACAGGCAGUCCACAGCCAAUGGCAACAGCUGAGGAGGCAUCACCAUAAUCACCUGGUUAAGUCCAGUCAAAGGUGACUAUGGGGUUGCGGCACACAUCUCGCUUUCAGGCUGAGGGAGCCAGAGUUUGUCCACAGACAGCUUUCUAGGUAAUGUGGCCAGCAGGACGAAACUUCUGGCACAACGGGACACCGUGACGGAAACCAGAGUGCAUGGAAAUGCUGUUUACCUUCCUGCCGCAGCAGUACCUAUUUAUCUACUUGCACUGGCGUGCUUUCAAGCAGCUAGGUUGGCAGGAGCUGGAACAGAGCAAUGGGAGCUCACCGCAUUGCGGGGAUUCGAACCGCCAACCUUCUGAUCGGCAGGCCCAAGAGGCUCAGUGGUUUAGACCACAUUAUCAUGUUAAGUGUCCGUGUUAAGUGUAUUGGUACCAAGGAAGGACACACUAUAUUUUGGAAGGAGUAUUUUUCAGCCCAGUGGCUGCAUUCCUUUGUGUCCUCAUGAGAAGCAGCAUGACUUUCUCCCAAUAUGCACAUUUGUAUAUGUCAUAUCCAGGGCCAUGUUAAGCAUAUCCGGUUCAAUGGCGCCCCCCCCCCCCCCGUUUCCCAGAGUUAUCAACCAUUUCCCAAGCCUCUGCAGUGGAUAGCUCUCCUCCCGUGGAGGCUUGGGAGGCAAGCUGCAUGCCCACCAGCCAUAUGGUUGAUGGAGUGCAGCUGGCGGGCAUGCAGGAGGGAAAGGGGAGGCUGCCAGCAUAGCCGCGCAGCUCCCCCACUCACUGGGGCGCCCCUGAGAGGCCGGCGCCCUGGAGCAACGCGCUAGUAAACCCUAUGGGAAAGACAGCUCUGGUCAUAUCACAGCAAAGCAAUUUCCAUCUUGGGUGAUUUUUUAAGAAUUAUAUGCAGUUUUAUGCACGCUAUACCUCCGCAUAUGCAUCUUUGGGGUAGCUCAGUCAGUAGAGAUGGAGACUCCUUGUCUCAGGGUCAAGCUCCACAUUGGGCGAAUGAUCACUGCAUUGCAGGGGUUUGGACUAGAUGAGUCUUGUCGUCCCUUCCAACUCUAUAAUUCUUUGAUUUCUUGGCCGGAUAGCUGCAUCGCAAAAUUCAGGGAAGUGCAAAUUUUGAAGGAUGGUUGUGUUUCAGUCUGAGCAUUGUUCCCGGCAGCGUAAAUUAUGUAGGUUCACCUUUAAACGUGAACUGAAUUGAGUUCCUCCCCCAUCCCUACCAACAAUAAAGAUCUCUUGGCCACUUUGCAGUGGUUACUUACAUAUCAGGUUAGUGUCAUUCCCGCUGCCUUGCCUUUCCAGAUCCAAACAGGAAUGUUUAUUGUUCUGCCUCUCAAGAGCAGAGCUAAGGGCAGCUAAAAAUACCCUCUGAUUUCUUUCUAUAUUUAUGUGAUGUUGUUUACACGGGCUCUUACAAGCAGGAACUGGCAAAUGGUUGCAAGAGGGAGGUGUGGAGAGGCUCCAAAUAAAGGCCAGUUUGAGCUUGCCUUCCCGCACAGAGAAGAUAGCAGAGUGCGUUGAAAUAUAUGCAGCGAGGGCAUAUUGUCAACACACAACAGGCCUGGGUUUCUGGCAGUUCAUGUCCAUUUCUUUAAAAGUAUACAAGGACUCAAUGCAGGCAAAAGCAAAGUCGUGCUUGUGACCUUCCCGCAUUUUGAGCACCAAUCAAAAAUUCUUGCAUCGGCGGUAUAAUUGCAGCCCAAAGAUUGAUCACACAUUAGCAGUUAGGUAUCUAGGUACUUUCCCAGUAGUGAUGUAUGGAAGUGAGAGCUGGACCAUAAAGAAGGCUGAUUGCCGAAGAAUUGAUGCUUUUGAAUUAUGGUGCUGGAGGAGACUCUUGAGAGUCCCAUGGACUGCAAGAAGAUCAAACCUCUCCAUUCUGAAGGAAAUCAGCCCUCAGUGCUCACUGGAAGGACAGAUCGUGAAGCUGAGGCUCCAGCACUUUGGCCACCUCAUGAGAAGAGAAGACUCCCUGGAAAAGACCCUGAUGUUGGGAAAGAUGGAGGGCACAAGGAGAAGGGGACGACAGAGGACGAGAUGGUGGGACAGUGUUCUCGAAGCUACCAGCAUGAGUUUGACCAAACUGCGGGAGGCAGUGGAAGACAGGAGUGCCUAGCGUCCUCUGGUCCAGGGGGUCACGAAGAGUCGGACACAACUAAACAACUAUCUAUGCAAAUGGGAUGCAGGUGGCGCUGUGGGUUAAACCACAGAGCCUAGGACUUGCCGAUCAGAAGGUCGGCGGUUCGAAUCUCCGCGACGGGAUGAGCUCCCAUUGCUCGGACCCUGCUCCUGCCAACCUAGCAGUUCGAAAGCACGUCAAAGUGCAAGUAGAUAAAUAGGUACCGCUCCGGUUCGCCAGAAGUGGCUUAGUCAUCUGGCCACAUGACCCGGAAGCUGUACGCUGGCUCCCUCAGCCAAUAAAGCAAGAUGAGCGCCGCAACGCCAGAGUCGGUCACGACUGGACCUAAUGGUCAGGGGUCCCUUUACCUAUCUAUGCAAAGCGCAGGUGUCAAUCAGAAAUGAAAUAUCAUGAUUUUGAGUGAGGAUAGAUUAUGUGUGCUGUGGGAAAAGUGGAGGGAGAAAUGUUCCCUUAAUAGAAGAAUUUGGGGCAUCCAAUGAAGGUGAACAACGCUGGAAGAUUUAGGGUAAUGAAAGAGAGUGCUUUUCCACACAGCACAUAGUUAAACGAUGGCAUUCGCUCCCACCAAUGUGGAGGACUUGAAAAGAGGAUUAGACAAAUUCAUGGAGGACAAGUUGAUGAAUGCCUACUAGCCGGGAUGGAAAUGUUCUGCUUCCAGUGCAUACCUUCCAACAUUCCUCAGAUGAAAACAGGGAUAUGCCUCACUCCCCACCAAGUUUUGUCUUCCACCCUUGCAGAACAUUUCUUAUCCAAAGAAGGGACACAGCACACAAACUCUUCACCUCUGCUCUUUGGUAGAUUUACGAAAAGAAAAACACACACCAAUACAUAAAUUUUAGAACGGGGCAAGAUUAGAUGCACAUAUUGUAGUAGGGUUAAAGACUACUGGGAAAUGAUAUGCAAUGAAUUGAAAAGACUGUUCAAAAUAACUUUAAUUUUAAAAAAACCCAGAAGAUUUUCUUUUGGGAAUUAUAGGGACAGAACUACCAAAAUUGUAUAGAAAUUUAUUUAUGUGUGCUUCUACAGAAGCAAGAAUGUUACUUGCCCCAAAGAAGAAUGGCAACUUAAGUUGACAGAAUAUGUGUAGCUUGCAGACUUAACAUACAGAAUAAGAGAACAAGAACAUACGUUUAGAGAAGAUUGGAAAACGUUUAUUGAAUAUAUGGGAAAUAACUUUAUACAGCUGAAAAUGCUGGCAGCAUUAAGAUAAAUCCAACAGUGUAAAUAGGUUUUGACAGAUGUAAUAAUGGAAUACUUAAUGGCAUAGUUUCUGUAAAAUACGCAGGGAUUUAUGAUAUGUAAAAUGAACCAUAGAAAGAGAAGAAGGGGAGUCAUUGAUAUCUUAUGCAAAAAUGAGGUUAUUGAGUUGUCCCACCCUCCAUAUUCUCCCCAUCUGGUCCCACCGGAUUUCUUUCUUUUUCCAAAACUGAAAUCUGCACUGAAAGGGCACAGAUUUUCCAACAUUUCACACUUCCAAGCUGCUGUGACGAGGGAACGGAAAGCAGUACGAAAAAAGGACUUCUCCAGCAGUUUCUAACAGUCCUACGAAUGUUGUCAACGGUGCAUUGUAUCAGAGGGGGCCUACUUUGAAGGCCUGUAAGGUACGUAUGUUCGAAUAUUUCUCUCUGUCCGAUUUCUGUGGCCAUUCACCGAACUUUCCGGCCACACCUUGUACGAACGCAUUAGUGACAAUAACACAUAAGACUGAAUUGGAUUGGGGGAAUUGCGACAAAAAUAAAAAUGUGUCCUUUGCAAAAUGCACAUCAUUUGCACAUGUAUAUUAUAUGAAAUGCAGAGGAAAUGCAUGUGAUUUGUUUUUUUUUAGGAGAACAUAUUUUUUUUCAUUAAAAAAUCGCAAACUGAUGUGGUGGAAAUGUGGUAAAAUGAAUUCAAGUUUGGAAAGCUGCAAAACGGAGAGAAAUCGAAAGGGACAGGUCCGUUUCUCUUUGUGUGGGAAUUUCCUUUGAUUCUCCCCUUUGCAGGCUGCAGAACCUGCUGCCUCCAAUUUCGCCUCCUCUUGCAAAACCCAUCAUCAUCAUCAACUCGUCCUCUCCCGCAGAACGUGCAACAUGAUCGCAGUAAUCUCUUGCUCUCUCCCUGUACCCUUUCGAGUUCUGUUAUAAUCUUUCUGUGCGCGAAACAACCUCUGAUUUAUACCAGCACCGGAGCCCUGAAGCCUUUCUCUCCCCCCCACCCCCCCUUUUAAUUCUGCACCUGCAUUGUGCGGCUAAAGGCUUCGGGGAUUGCAAUAACUCUCCCCAAUCUCUUUCCCAGGCAGUGCGGUGCGCAGCUCAAUCCCACUUUAGGUGAGAUUUCCUCUUCUGCUCCUUAACAAAAAAUAAAUAAAAAUGGCUUCGAGUGAUGUUAGAAGCCAUCAGUUAGCCAGAUGCUGAAAUGAAUAGGUUGGAAAUCCUACCAAAAUGUUUGUGAUACGCUCUGUCUCUUUGCUUAGCACAUGCAAUAGUGGAAUCUUUGCUUUCAUGCCUAUUAACCACGUACCGUAUUUUUUGCUCUAUAAGACUCACUUUUUCCCUCCUAAAAAGUAAGGGGAAAUGUGUGUGCGCCUUAUGGAGCGAAUGCAGGCUGCACAGCUAUCCCAGAAGCCAGAACAGGAAGAGGGAUUGCUGCUUUCACUGCGCAGCGAUCCCUCUUGCUGUUCUGGCUUCUGAGAUUCAGAAUAUUUUUUUCCUUGUUUUCCUCAUCCAAAAACUAGGUGCGUCUUGUGGUCUGGUGCAUCUUAUAGAGCGAAAAAUACGGUAAUUUCUGCUUCAGCUUGAAGCAGGUGACGCAGCCGGCUGCACUUCCAUACCAGUCAUAGAUGAGUUGGAAGGGGUAGGGUUGCUGGAAUUUCCUGGACAUAUACAGAAUACCGUAGUCAGCAGCAGUGUCCAGGCAGAAAUCAGGAAAACCGUCCGGGGAAAUCUGGCAUCCCAUGUAUGGCAACCCAUGUUGUCAGUGUUGCCUUUGCCGAUUUGCCAUAAAAUUGCGAAUUUACAAAAAACAACAACCCAGCAACUUUGAGCAAAACUUUUUUAAAAAGCUCAACUGCUGUCCAGAGUCCAGUCCCCGGCUUGAUAACACAGUGAGCGUAGUUAAUUAAAAAGGAUGGUUUAUUGUGAAAAUAAACAGAUAGCUCUGGGCGGCUUUACACAGCCUUCUCCACUACAGUGGUACCUCAGGUUAAGUACUUAAUUCAUUCCGGAGGUCCGUACUUAACCUGAAACUGUUCUUAACCUGAAGCACCACUUUAGCUAAUGGGGCCUCCUGCUGCCGCUGCACCGCCAGAGCACAAUUUCUGUUCUCAUCCUGAAGCAAAGUUCUUAACCUGAAGCACUAUUUCUGGGUUAGCGGAGUCUGUAACCUGAAGAAGAAGAAGAAGAAGAAGAAGAAGAAGAAGAAGAAGAAGAAGAAGAAGAGGAGGAGGAGGAGGAGGAGGAGGAGUUUGGAUUUGAUAUCCCGCUUUAUCACUACCCAAAGGAGUCUCAAAGCGGCUAACAUUCUCCUUUCCCUUCCUCCCCCACAACAAACACUUUGUGAGGUGAGUGGGGCUGAGAGACUUCAAAGAAGUGUGACUGGCCCAAGGUCACCCAGCAGCUGCAUGUGGAGGAGCGGCGACGUGAACCCGAUUGAGGCCGGUUCACCAGAUUACGAGACUACCACUCUUAACCACUACACCACACUGGCACUCUGAAGCGUAUGUAACCUGAAGCGCUUGUAACCUGAGGUACCACUGUAUCAAUUAAGAUGGCCCUUCUGAAGACUGCUUCCGGCAAGACCAGAAGUAAUGGAACUUUUGCUUCAUACUUCUUUUGUUUUGCUUCCUAUCUUGCAGCCCUCCUAUUCAUCGAGACCUUGGACUGAGUGGGUCAGCUCCCUCCUCUUCCCCAUUCUCUGAGAGGCUGUCUCUUAACUCUUUCCCGUAACCAAACAAUUUAACCCCUGUGUAGCAAAGAAUAGUCAGUAAUAUCCAAGGCAACACGAUGACCAAAUACAAUGAUAUGAUAUCAAUAUACACUCUUUAUAUAAUAUGAAAGUCAGCAGUGACUACAUAACUUUAUGACCACUGCUCCAUAGCAAUUGUUAUUAGACUUUUCCGUUCACCAUAUAGAUGGGUUUAUGAAGCCUUUCUGUAUCCUUCUGCUGUGCUGAAGAAGAAUUCCACGAAAAGGUGGGUAUAUCCGGAAUCGCUGUUCACAACGUCUGUUUGCGAACUACUUGCGAACUACUAAGUCAUGUCAGACUAACCUGAUCUCGUUUUUUGACAGAAUUACAAGCCUGGUGGAUGAAGGGAACGCAGUGGAUGUAGCCUACCUUGAUUUCAGCAAGGCAUUUGACAAGGUGCCCCAUGAUAUUCUUGUAAAGAAGCUGGUAAAAUGCGGUCUUGACUAUGCUACCACUCAGUGGAUUUGUAACUGGCUGACUGACCGAACCCAAAGGGUGCUCAUCAAUGGUUCCUCUUCAUCCUGGAGAAGAGUGACUAGUGGGGUGCCACAGGGUUCUGUCUUGGGCCCGGUCUUAUUCAACAUCUUUAUCAACGACUUGGGUGAUGGACUCAAGGGCAUCCUGAUCAAAUUUGCAGAUGACACCAAAUUGGGAGGGGUGGCUAACACCCCAGAGGACAGGAUCACACUUCAAAACGACCUUGACAGAUUAGAGAACUGGGCCAAAACAAACAAGAUGAAUUUUAACAGGGAGAAAUGUAAAGUAUUGCACUUGGGCAAAAAAAUGAGAGGCACAAAUACAAGAUGGGGGACACCUGGCUUGAGAGCAGUACAUGUGAAAAGGAUCUAGGAGUCUUGGUUGACCACAAACUUCACAUGAGCCAACAGUGUGACGCGGCAGCUAAAAAGCCAAUGCAAUUCUGGGCUGCAUCAAUAGGAGUAUAGCAUCUAGAUCAAGGGAAGUAAUAGUGCCACUGUAUUCUGCUCUGGUCAGACCUCACCUGGAGUACUGUGUCCAGUUCUGGGCACCACACUUCAAGAAGGACAUUGACAAACUGGAACGUGUCCAGAGGAGGGCAACCAAAAUGGUCAAAGGCCUGGAAACGAUGCCUUAUGAGGAACGGCUAAGAGAGCUGGGCAUGUUUAGCCUGGAGAAGAGGAGGUUAAGGGGUGAUAUGAUAGCCAUGUUCAAAUAUAUAAAAGGAUGUCACAUAGAGGAGGGAGAAAGGUUGUUUUCUGCUGCUCCAGAGAAGCGGACACGGAGCAAUGGAUCCAAACUACAAGAAAGAAGAUUCCACCUAAACAUUAGGAAGAACUUCCUGACAGUAAGAGCUGUUCGACAGUGGAAUUUGCUGCCAAGGAGUGUGGUGGAGUCUCCUUCUUUGGAGGUCUUUAAGCAGAGGCUUGACAACCAUAUGUCAGGAGUGCUCUGAUGGUGUUUCCUGCUUGGCAGGGGGUUGGACUCGAUGGCCCUUGUGGUCUCUUCCAACUCUAUGAUUCUAUGAUUCUAUGAUUCUAUGAUUCUACUUUGGCAGCGUUGGACGCCAUAAGCAAAGCUUUACAGCCUGUUUUCACCAGAUAAGAAUCUGAUAAAUUGCUUCUUUCAGAGACUUGCAUAGUCUUCAAAGACUUUCAGAGUGUAUAUUGAUAUUGUAUCAUUGUAUGUGGUCAUCGUGUUGCCUUGGAUAUUACUGACCAUUCUUAACUCUUUCCCGCCUGUUUGCGCUUCCAACGAGCUUUGACUGUGUUCUAGUUUGCUCUCAGCCAUUCCCUUAUCAGCUGACAUUCCAAGGGGUGGGGGAAUUGGCACUAGCUGGUGCUCAUCCUGAAUGGCAAUUAACCCUCUUUGUUCCUGGCUGCUUUCUUCAGUUGGCAGCAACCCUUGCCUGGGAGCUGGAUCAUUCAUGGCAACCACUUUUCUGUCUGGAUUUUCACUGCUCGAAAUAUGCCAACCCUACCCAAGAGUCAUCUAGUCCAACCCUCUGCAAUGCAGGAAUCUCAGCUAAAGCAUCCAUGACAGAUGGCCAUCCAGCUUCUGCUUAAAAACCUCCAAGGAAGGAGAGUCCAUCACCUCCUGAGGGAGUCUGUCAAAAAGCUCCCGCUGUCAGAAAGUUCUUCCUGACGUUGAGUUGGAAUCUCUUUUCUUGUAACUUGAAGCCAUUGGUUCGAAUCCUACCCUCCAGAGCAGGAGAAAACAAGCUUGCUCCGUCUUCCAUGUAACAGCCCUUGAGAUAUUUGAAGAUGGCUCUCGUAUCUCCUCUCAGUCUCCUCUUCUCCAGGCUAAACACACCCAGCUCCUUCGACCUUUCCUCAUAAGGCUUGGUUUCCAGACCUGGAUCAUCUUGGUUGCCAUCCUCUGCACGCGUAGCCAUUUAGGAUGCAUUCAGAUGCAUUAGUUUUUCCUGAUUACAAUGCUAACACCUCUGUUCAGUUUUCUGCUCCAUGGAUUUCCUCAUAGCCCUUUCUACCAUGAAGGUAUCCAAUCUGAUUUAGCCAUCCGAUUUGGUUGCAAUCUCCGCCCCCCGCAGAAGCACGUUCCAUACUUAUACUUUGUGCUGUGUGAAGAAAGGCUUUCUUUAUCUGUCCUGAAUCUUCCAACACCCGUCGAUUUCUAGUGUUGCGAGACAAGGAGGAAAACUUUUCUCUACCAUAAAUAAUUUUAUAAACCUCUAUUGUAUCACCGCUGGCUCACCUUUCCUCUAAAGUCUCAAAUGCUGCGGCUGUUCUUCAUACGGCAGUUGCUCCAUCCCCUUGAUCAUUUUGGUUUUACUUUUCCAAACAUUUCCCAACUUUGCAAUAUCCUUUUUGAGGUGAGGCGAUGCCAACCGCAAAGAGUAUUCGAAAAGCGGUCUCGUCAUAGAUUUCUACAACAGUAUUACGACGCCAGCAGUUUUAUUUUCGAUUCCCUUCCUCGUAAUCCUUAGCACGGAAUUUGCCUUUUUCUGCCAAACACAGGUUCGACCUCUUCCCCAAGCCAUUUACUAUAGCGGAAGACCAUUUAUUUCAAUGGGCCUACUCUGAGUAUGGUUUUAUUGGAGUUCACCGUACUCCACCGUACUCCACCGUACUUGGAUAGGCUGAAUUAGACAGCCUAUCCGAAAAAUUAAAAAACAAACCAAGGAAAGAAUUUAUUUCAAAAUGGGAAGCAUUUAAAAUAUAUUUGAAAAUUAAUAAUGCUGAUUUAAAAUCUGUAGAGGCAUUUGAAUAAUACCAGCAAUAUCAUUCACUAGUUAUAUGAUAUAACAAACAGUCAUACCUUGGGUUACAGACACUUCGGGUUGCGCAAUUUCGGGUUGCGCACCGCGCCAAACCCGGAAGUACUGGAACUGGUUACUUCCGGGUUUCAGCACUUGCACAGAAGCGCUAAAUCGCACUUUGUGCAUGUGCAGAAGCACCGAAUCACAAUCCACACGUGCACACAUGCGGCGCUGCGGGUUGCGAACUCUGUGAGUUGCAAAUGUGCUUCCCGCAUGGAUCACGUUCGCAACCCAAGCGUCCACUGUAUUCUGAAGUGAUUUGAGAUGAUAGCAAUAACAUGUAUUGGCAGCAAAGAAUGGCAAUUAGAUUUAUGGAGUACAGUGGUACCUCGGGUUAAGUACUUAAUUUGUUCCGGAGGUCCAUUCUUAACCUGAAACUGUUCUUAACCUGAAGCACCACUUUAGCUAAUAGGGUCUUCCGCUGCCGCUGCGCCGCCGGAGCACGAUUUCUGUUCUCAUCCUGAAGCAAAGUUCUUAACCUGAAGCACUAUUUCUGGGUUAGCGGAGUCUGUAACCUGAAGUGUAUGUAACCCGAGGUACCACUGUAGAUGAGAAGUCGGAUUUAAAAGGAAGAGACCAUUACAGUUUAUGGAUUAUGAAAUUUAUAUUAAUUCUUUAUGUAAUGUGCGACUGAGGAUAUUCUUAAUGUGGUGUAAUUUGUCUUUUUGUUGUUGUUAUGUGUUGAGCAAAUAAAAUAUUAUUUUUUAAAAAAGAAGGAUAUAUAAGAGCCAAGGAAAUGUAAUCUCUUCUGCGCCCCUUCGCCUUCUGCAAAUGGAAGUGCAUUUUGCAGGGAGAGAGUCGUUUUUGGUAGAAGAGAGUUCAAAAUGGAUAAGGGAGGAAAUAACCAUCUAUGCUGGCAGAGGACCAGAAAAUUCCUUGGGCUUCCUGGAAGCCAUUAACACCCUCUUCCAUAUGCUAUCUCUUGACAUUCCAGCUCUGGCUUUUACUGAGGUGGCCACAAGACAACAGCUGCAUGUCCAUCCAGCUGUCUUCCAGGUCGGGUAAUGUUCGCACCCUUUUAUGUGGUGCUGCAGUGCAGACGCUUGGAACUUUUCAUGCCUCGCAAGCAGAGCCUUCAACAUCGACUUCCGUAACAUCCUGGUAUCAAAAUGAGAACUAAACUAAAUGUCUCCGUGCUCUUCCAGUUUUGCCCUGAACUGUGGCGGAGCUUCAAGUUUAAGCCAUGGCCAAGUCCAAGAACAAGGCUUGGGGCUAAGACUCGGUUUGCCGCCAGGCAAAGAUGUGAUAUGGAUGGCACGGAGAGGGAUGUGAUGCGCCGAGUUCAUGGCGAUCAUUAAGAACAGAGCGGCGAUCGAGGGCCCUCCAGACGCUUUGGUGAUACAGCUCUGCGAAAACGAUCUUGCUUAUCGUAAAACCAUCGAUAUGCAAUGGAAUAUAUUCAGUGACUUUGAGGAACUACUCACUUCUUACCCCAGCACUAGCAUUCUGUGGUCUUCCUUACUAGAAAGGCGCACGUGGAGAGAUUGUCGCUCCCCUGCUGCGGUGAAUAGAGCCCGAAAGAUCUUGCAAAGUACUGUGCCAGUGUGGUGUAGUGGUUAAGAGCGGUAGUCUCAUAAUCUGGGGAACCGGGUUCGAGUCUCCACUCCUCCACAUGCAGCUGCUGGGUGACCUUGGGCCAGUCACACUUCUUUGAAGUCUCUCAGCCCCACUCACCUCACAGAGUGUUUGUUGUGGGGGAGGAAGGGAAAGGAGAAUGUUAGCCGCUUUGAGA